ACAGAGUGGAAAAGACAGGACAAUGUGGAAUAUAACUCCGAAUGUGUUCGUCUAAAAGAGGAAUGUCAGACAUGCCUAGGAUGCCCUGAGGCCCCUCCAGCAGCUUUCUGCCUUUAGGCCAUUAGAAUAAUAUGUCAGUGUCUGGGUCAGAAGGAAGAACAUCACAAGUCAAUUUCUGAACCCUCUCCAACAGGACUCGUGUUGAGCUGUCCAAAACCUUGAAGGACUGGAAAGGGAAAAUAGACAUCCUGACAUCAAUGGUCCAGAGAUUCUCUGAUUUGUGUCCACGUCUGCUUCGGCAGCUUCUUUCAAAUCAUCUUGUGUUUACAGGACUGAAGGUAAACCUCUGACGGAUGACACAGGAGAUGUAUUUUUAGGGUCGGCCUGGUCAGCAGACCUAAUUGACUGCUACUGAUUAUAGUAUUUAAACCAACUCGCCCUCAGCCAUAAUGCAGCCUAACGGCGCUGCUCGUAAAAACAUCUGUGCAUGACUAAUGUUGUUAGGUGAUGUGACUGAGCGGACUUCCCAUGGGCUGCCUAUCUAUUAGAUUUACUACAACCCCACCCUGGAUUCGGAUACAACAUGCACAGCUAACAGGUUCGUUCGGUUCUGAAGGUGCAGUACAGUGCUUUUCCUCACAAAAUCAUCAAAUAUCUAUUAAACCAUUAUAAAAAUUCUCUAAAAUGGUGUAUGGGCAUUCUAACCACUUUUAUGAAUCUUUUUUUUGGUCAUUUAUAAAGGUUAAAAGCAUUGAAAAUAGCCACCAUUGCCAUUCACAUAUAACAAUGUAUUUAUUUAUCUGUUAACACUAUAUUCCGUAUUUAAUUCCCAGUAUACCUAAAAUUUAUUUGAGAAUAUAAAGAUCUAAUUAUAAAGCAUGCCUUCUAAAGCAUUAGGAAUUUUUUUUCACAGUUCACCAUUUUU